rnacentral:rRNA from 1 species
AGCGACAGGCCUAACACAUGCAAGUCAGGGGCAGCACAAGGAGCAAUCUGAGGUGGCGACCGGCGCACGGGUGAGUAACACGUAUGCAACCUGCCUGUAAGCGGGGAAUAACCCGUUGAAAGACGGACUAAUACCGCAUAAUACUAAAUUACUGCAUGGUAAUUUAUUUAAACAUUUAUGGCUUACAGAUGGGCAUGCGCAUGAUUAGCUAGUUGGAGAGGUAACGGCUCCCCAAGGCAACGAUCAUUAGGGGUUCUGAGAGGGAGGUCCCCCACACUGGUACUGAGACACGGACCAGACUCCUACGGGAGGCAGCAGUGAGGAAUAUUGGUCAAUGGACGAGAGUCUGAACCAGCCAAGUCGCGUGCAGGAAGAAUGUCCUUAAUGGAUUGUAAACUGCUUUUGCAGGGGGAAUAAAGUGCAUCACGUGUGAUGUUUUGUAUGUACUCUGCGAAUAAGGAUCGGCUAACUCCGUGCCAGCAGCUGC